rnacentral:lncRNA from 1 species
UUUUUUUUUUUUUUUUUUUUUUGAGAUAGAGUCUCACUCUGCUGUUCAGGCUGGAGUGCAGUGGCAUGAUCUCGGCUCACUGCAACCUUGCUUUUCAGGCUCAAGCAAUCCUCCCACCUUGGCCUCCCGAGUAGCUAGGACUAUAGGCGCAUGCCACCAUGUUCAGCUAAUUUUUAAAUUUUUAAAUUUUUUUGUAGAGAUGAAGUCUUAUUGUAUUACCCAGGCUGGUCUUUAACUCCUGGGCUCAAGUGAUUCUCCCGCCUUGGCCUCCCAAAGUGUUGGGAUUACAGAUGUGAGCCACCGCACCCGACCUGAGGACCUCAUUUUUAUGGGCACUAAUUACACAUCCUUUUUGAAACUAACUGCCACAGACGUGAAAUACAGUGGUUCCUCCCAACAGGUCAGGUAACUGCUCAGCCAAUCUCUUACUAGGGAACAGGUCAGGUUCGGAUGCUGAAGCAUCUCCCAAAGCUUUUAGUUAUUGAGGAUUUCUUUUUUUAAGACAGUAUCACUCUAUUAUCCAGGCUGGAGUGCAGUGGCAUGAUCUUGGCUCACUGCAACCUCAGCCUCCUGAGCUCAAGUGAUCCUGCACCUCAGCCUCCCAAGUUACCAGACUACAGGUGCGUGCCACCACUCCCAGCUAAUUUCUGUGUGUGUUUGUGUGUGUGUGUUGCAGAUUCGGGGUUUUGCCAUGUUGCCCAGGCUGGUCUCAAACUGCUGAGCUCAAGUGAUCCACCUGCCUCAGCCUCCCAGUGUUGGGAUUACAGGCGUGAGCCACUGCACCUGGGUAUUUCUUAAUUAGCCAUGUUGGACAAAGCUCCUGUGUAUCCUUCUGGUCACUGAGGUUAUUUUCUGUUAUCAAGGAGUUAUCUGGGAAAGGUGCCACUUGGCUUUGUAAGCCAGUCUCACUGUAGUCAGAGUCCAUGUAUUAGUUUUGUAGUGUUGCUCUAAGAAAUCACCAAAAAACUUAGUGGUUUAAAAUACUGAUUUAUUCUCUUACAGCUCUGGAGAUCAGAAAUCUAAAAUCAAGGUGUUGGCAGGGCUGUUUCUUCUGGAGGCUUCAGGGGAGAAUACAUUUCCUUGCUUUUGCUAACUUCUAGAAGCCACCUGCAUUCCUUGACUUGUGGCCCUUCUUCACAUCACUCCAACCUCUUGCUUUUGUCAUUACAUCUCCUACUGUGGUCAGCUCUCCCUCUGCCUCCCUAUUAUAAGAACACUGAUGAUUGCACUUAGGGUCUAUUCUGAUCAUCCAGGUUAAUCUACCGAUCUCAAGAUCCUCAAUCUCAUUUGCAAAGCCCCUUUUGCUAUCUAAGGUAACAUUCACUGGUUUCAGGGAUUAGGUGGACAUCUUGGGGAACCAUUAUUCAUCCUACCAUAGCGCCACGUAUGUUUCUGUGCACUGCCUUGGUGGAGUGAGAGGAGAGAGCACCUAGCAGGGUUACAAGGUUUCAAAGUGUUCCUAAAUUAAGAUCUUGUGGGUAAACUCAGCUCUGUAACUACUGUGAUAACUGAGACCAUCAUAAACCGGCCUCAUUUCUAUUAGCUCCAUAUCCCUCCCUGCCAACACUGCUUCCUUUAAAAUGUUCUGUAGCACUGAGGCUGGACUCCUUAUUACUUCAUUAUCCUGAAAAACAAGUUAUUCGAGAUAGUAAGAUGCAUGUUUUCUACAAGGUGAGAUGUUUUUCUCAUAAGCCUCUGGUCUAACAAGUGCAGUUGUGGUCUGCAGCAUGCUCACACAGUGUAAUAGCACCUUAUUUUUCUUUAUCACUCUAUAUUCUGCAAAAUACCUUCACAUCCUUAGGAAAUUUGGGCAUAGGAAAAGGAAAGUGGUGUUAUUUCAGUUGUACAGAUGAGUAAACUGUGGCUGAAAGGCAGAGAAUGGAUUGUAAGGUAGAUGACUUUAAUAUAGGAACCCCCCACCAGGCACUGGACACAUGGAUGGAAUGAAACGUACAUGUAAUUGAUAGAAUUUGCUGCUGGACUUUGUGAGCAUUUAAAUGUGGGGAAUGUAAGUGAGAAAAUCAACUGAGGUUUCUAGCUUAAGCAAUGAAUACUGUAAUGAGCUUGCUUUUGAGAUAUGUUGAAUCUGAUGUACCUAAGAACUAAGGGAUA